rnacentral:rRNA from 1 species
UGCCCAAGAGAUCGGGAUAACACCUGGAAACAGAUGCUAAUACCGGAUAACAACAGAUGAUGCCUAUCAACUGUUUAAAAGAUGGUUCUGCUAUCACUCUUGGAUGGACCUGCGGUGCAUUGGCUAGUUGGUAGGGUAACGGCCUACCAAGGCGAUGAUGCAUAGCCGAGUUGAGAGACUGAUCGGCCACAUUGGGACUGAGACACGGCCCAAACUCCUACGGGAGGCAGCAGAG